GUUUCACAAACACAUGUUUUUAAGAAUUAAAUAAAUGUAUCCCCCCCCCCCCAGAAGUUUAAAAAUGGCCGCAGUACUCUAACUGCGCAAAGGUAGCAUAAUCAUUAGUCUUUUAACAGAAGGCUGGAAUGAAUGGUUGGACGAAAUAUUAACUGUUUCAUUUUAAUUUUUUAUAGAAUUUUAUUUUUUAGUCAAAAAGCUAAAAUUUAUUUAAAAGACGAGAAGACCCUAUAAAUCUUUAUAUUUUAUUUAUUUUAAUUAUAAAGAUUAAUUUUGUUAUAAUAAAUUUAAAUAUUUUAUUGGGGUGAUAUUAAAAUUUAAAAAACUUUUAAUUUUAAAUCCAUUAAUUUAUGAAUAAUUGAUCCAUUAAUAAUGAUUAAAAAUCUAAGUUACUUUAGGGAUAACAGCGUAAUUUUUUUGGAGAGUUCAUAUCAAUAAAAAAAAUUGCGACCUCGAUGUUGGAGAAAGAGAUAAUUUUGGGGGGAGCCGGCGGGGAUGGUAAGACUGUUCGACUUUUAAAUAAAUUACGUGAUCUGGGGAAAAAACGGGGGGGG
rnacentral:rRNA from 1 species